rnacentral:rRNA from 1 species
UACGUAGGGUCCGAGCGUUGUCCGGAAUUAUUGGGCGUAAAGGGCUCGUAGGCGGUUUGUCACGUCGGGCGUGAAAACUCAGGGCUCAACCCUGAGCGUGUGUCCGAUACGGGCAGACUAGAGGUAUGCAGGGGAGAACGGAAUUCCUGGUGUAGCGGUGGAAUGCGCAGAUAUCAGGAGGAACACCGGUGGCGAAGGCGGUUCUCUGGGCAUUACCUGACGCUGAGGAGCGAAAGUGUGGGGAUCAAACAGG